rnacentral:rRNA from 1 species
CCCGCACAAGCGGAGGAACAUGUGGUUUAAUUCGAUGAUACGCGAGGAACCUUACCUGGGCUUAAAUGGGGAGUGACAGCUGUCGAAAGAUGGUUUUCUUCGGACACUCUUCAAGGUGCUGCAUGGUUGUCGUCAGCUCGUGCCGUGAGGUGUCGGGUUAAGUCCCAUAACGAGCGCAACCCUUACCGUUAGUUACCAUCAGGUUAAGCUGGGGACUCUAGCGGGACUGCCACCGUAAGGUGAGAGGAAGGUGGGGAUGACGUCAAAUCAGCACGGCCCUUAUGUCCAGGGCUACACACGUGUUACAAUGGCCAGUACAAAGGGCAGCUACCGGGUGACCGGAUGCUAAUCUCUAAAGCUGGUCUCAGUUCGGAUCGAAGUCUGCAACCCGACUUCGUGAAGCUGGAUUCGCUAGUAAUCGCGCAUCAGCCAUGGCGCGGUGAAUACGUUCCCGGGCCUU